rnacentral:rRNA from 1 species
GACGAACGCUGGCGGCGUGCUUAACACAUGCAAGUCGAACGGAAAGGCCCUUCGGGGUACUCGAGUGGCGAACGGGUGAGUAACACGUGGGUGAUCUGCCCUGCACUUUGGGAUAAGCCUGGGAAACUGGGUCUAAUGCCGAAUAGGACCGCGCGCUUCAUGGUGUGUGGUGGAAAGCUUUUGCGGUGUGGGAUGGGCCCGCGGCCUAUCAGCUUGUUGGUGGGGUAAUGGCAGACCAAGGCGACGACGGGUAGCCGGCCUGAGAGGGUGACCGGCCACACUGGGACUGAGAUACGGCCCAGACUCCUACGGGAGGCAGCAGUGGGGAAUAUUGCACAAUGGGCGCAAGCCUGAUGCAGCGACGCCGCGUGAGGGAUGACGGCCUUCGGGUUGUAAACCUCUUUCACCAGGGACGAAGCGCAAGUGACGGUACCUGGAGAAGAAGCACCGGCCAACUACGUG